CAUGGCUAGUGUCUGCUCAUUGCUUUCAUGGUUUAACCCCUGAAGUGUUUUUCAAGGAACUUAUAUGGACUAUGAUUAACCAAAGUGCUUUUUACACUAAAUUUGAGAGUUCAAGAAUCAGUUUCUGUCCUGUUUCCUGGAGCAUGGGGUUUUCUACAUAAAUGAUGUUUCAGAACUUGAGUGGCUAAGCUUUUUAAUUCUGAUUUUGCAUCUUAUACGUACCUUUAGCUAUGCUUCUUUAAUAUUUUACCUGGCAUAUGAUUUAACACAGUACGUAUAGGAUGGUGACAACAACAAUAGUCGUUUGAUUUCAGGUUCUGGUAACCCUCUCCUCUCUUUUUUUGUUUCUUUCUUUUGUUCUUUUUGCUAAUUAAGUAGUUUAGGAUUUAAGCGAUGGGUGAAAACUAGGUCUUUUUUUCUAGUGUCUGAACUCUGCUUGCACGUUUUUCUUGGGACCCCAACUUAUCAAGGAACAUUUAUGGACUGCAAUUUAUUUGGAGUGUUUGAUUCAUUACUUACUCCUUUCCUUUUUCUACCUGUAUCUUUCUGUCUUGCUUUAGAAUUUUGAGUGCUUAGUCCAAGAUACCAAUCGUGUAUCUAAUUUCCAGAAGCAUGAAUGUGAACAGUUGUCUUCAUUACAUGACGUUUUGGAAGCCACGGUCUGUAUUUGUUUGUUACAGAGUUUCUACUUCUCUAAUGGAGGUAGGGUUUGACCUUUUGAUUCUGUUUUUGUUUGUGGCUCCCAGGCCUCUAUAGUUUUUGAAUGGAAAAUAGAAUGUGUUUCUCAAGUGCUCAAGGAAUUAAUUAACUAUUGGCCUUGCUUGUGCUGCGUUCUUUUAUUUUCACUCUGUGCAGAUGUUCUGUAGCUGAUCACUUGACUACAGUAACGGAAAAAGCAUCUUUAACCUUGAUUUUGCAUUUGGAUCAAGGAUUUUGCAUGUUUUUCCAGGAUUAGUUGGUUUUCGACUAACAUGAUCACGGACACUUCCAGGAGUCUAUCAACUGCUUUAAGGAAGCGUGCUGAAGUUCUCUGAGGCUUUGGCAGUGGUUUAUUGUUCCCUUCUGCCAGCUUCAUAAUUACUAACCUCGUCAAUACGGCUGUUUGGUUUGCUCUUUUUAUCUCCAUGUGCUUUUCAACUUCUAACAGCUCUUACACAAUUGCUUGUCUUGUUUUAAUUUGUGCAGAUACUUAUCUAGAUGAUUAUGUUUUCAACAAGAUUACAUCAAUUGUUUCCUAGCUGGCUUUUUUAUUUGCCUUCUGGUUUGAGAUCAAGACAGGUGUUUCUUUACUUUUCUAUUUCAUUCUAGUCAAGAAGAAGAAUUUCCUAAAUUAUAACUAUUUUUUGAGCUCAAGUGAAUUUAUAAGUGAAGCAUCUAUUUUUUUCUUCUCGUCUUCAUAAUGUUGUAAAUAUGCAUUGGUAUCGUGUUGGCAUUCCCAUUCAAGAGUUUUCUUGAAUUGAGUUUGUUAUUCUCGAACUUCCUUGAAACCUUGAUUUUUGAUAGGUGACUUUAGAGUCCUUGAUGCUUGGUGAUGCUUUAGGAUCCUAAAUGAGCUUUCUUUUCAAGCUUAUACUCUUCCCUACGAAACAGUUUAUCAUUCUUCUUUGGUGAUUGUGGUUGACUGAUCAGCUUCUUAUUGGGAUACUGGCAAGUACUUGUAGGAAAGCCUUCGAAGGAUUUCUUGUUCUUUUCGUUUAUGUUUCUUGGUGCUUGAGUUUUGUGAGAACAGAUGAACACAGAAUGAAGCAUGUGUGGUAUGUAACAGCUGGGUGUUAUGUAACAGCUGGUCUGGCCCUUUUCCUCUUCCAUAAAUUGUUUGGAUACAGCAUGAUUCUUUCUUUGGUGAUAUUUGGGAUCAGUUAAUGGAGGUGCAGUCUCAGACAUUCUUGCGAAGUGUUUUUUUUUGUUGCUCCAUUCCGUGCUAGAAGUACUUGGUUCUUUGAAUACUUGCUGGCUCAAGAUAUUUGAUCCAUGUAACAUCCUUUGCUUUAUGAACUCUUUUCAUGGUUUUGAAAUUUGUAUCAGUUUCCUAUUGUUUUUCUGGGACUGAACGCUUCUAGAAGGCUAAUUCUUAUGUCCUUUUGCGUUCAUAUAAAUUGCUGGUGUUUGCUC